UCUUCCCUUAACUCUCAACUGGGUCCUGACCCAGAUUUAGAAAAAAAAAGCCUGUAGGGGACUGUGUAGACCUACAGCAUGCUGUACAAUGUGUGUGUGUGUGUGUGUAAUGCUGGCAGGAUAGGGUGUGGUGAGAACAGCAGCCAUGAUGGAGAAUACUAAUAAGAAAGAGAGCUUGGAAAGCAAAGAUGACUCAGUGUCAUAACCCCAGACUGUAUCUGACUAAAAAGGGCGGGGGUGAAAACCUGUCUCCUGACGCCCACCUUCCAUCCAUCCGCCCUUCCCCAGACAGGGUGAGGAGGAGACCAGAGGGUGGUGGACUUUACCAAACCUCGCACCAACCCAGAUUCAGAACAAGCCUGCACCGACCGAGUACCUGACAUACGCUAACCUCAGUGGAAUCCAGAUGGAAGCAACAUGUGAGCCUUAACAAGCCAAUGUGGAGUCUGAUUGACAAGACAACCUGUGUUUGUCUUCUUGUCCAUCUGGCAGAUGUACAAGACAGAUAACUGCCUGAAUUGGAAAGAAGAGAGGAGAUGCAAUACCUGCAGCUGGACUGUUUGAUUUUGAUUUUUUUUUAUAUCAAUAUGAGAGGGAGAUAAGAAUAGAAGUGUGUAUCAGAGAGGAAGAGAGAGCCCGAGAUGGAUCGAGGAUGUGCAAGUGCGUGUCAGUGUGUGUGUGCAUGAUUACAGGCUGAAGGGCACGGAGUUGAGGUGGUGUUUGAUGCUAGUCUCAGUGGCAGGCUUCAAACAAACUGUCGCUUUGCUGCUGUCUAACUUGUGCAUACACACCGGUCCAAACACCCACACAUAUACAUAUGCAAACGCACACACUGACACUCUGUAGCUGUCUUCCGCUGCUUCUCACACAGGGACUUCUACCAGCAACGGGGCCAACCAUACCCAACCCCUCCAAGUGAGCUGCGUCAUGUACAAAUGCAUGUGCAGCAGUUCCACACAGUUAAUCAGUUUACACAAAAAAAUAAACGUAUUUCCUGUGGAACAAACGUACAAAAGUGCAUUGUAAAGAACGGUCACAGAUGCUUAUUGUAUAUACAUACAUAUAUAUACACAGUAUAAACACAGUAUAUAUAUAUAUAUAUAUAUAUAUAUAUAUAUAUAUAUAUAUAUAUAUAUAUAUAUAUAUAUAUAUAUAUAUAUAUAUAUAUAUAUAUACAUGGAACAACUGUGUGUAAUUAUACAUACACUCAAGUAAAUAGAUAAAGAAGUGAGUAUAUUCUCUUCCUCACGUACACACAUUUAAACAGCACACAAAGUCCAGGGGGGAUCUUGCUCCUUCCUUUACACGGGCCAUUUCCUUAAACAGAUUUAUCACCAGUGUUACACAAGCCAUUCGAUUAGCUCUACACAUGACUGUAUGCGUGUGUGUGUGUGGCCUUUGUAAGUAAGAGACCAAGGGAGCUUCUGUGAUAGUGUCUCUGUGUGUAUUUUCCUGAGUGUGUGUGUGUGCCUGUGUAUCAGGAGGCUGUAGGCUCAAGCUAUUAAGAUCAGUAUAGCCGUUAGAUAAGUGAUCUGAAGGAUGACACUACAGAGCCGAGAACAAAGCAGAUGCUAUUGCAGAGGAGAAACUGUGCAGGGCCAACAUGCAAGCCCUGAGGGACCCCCACCCCCCCAC
rnacentral:lncRNA from 1 species